GACGAACGCUGGCGGCGUGCUUAACACAUGCAAGUCGAACGGAAAGGCCCUGCUUUUGUGGGGUGCUCGAGUGGCGAACGGGUGAGUAACAAGUGAGUAACCUGCCCUUGACUUUGGGAUAACUUCAGGAAACUGGGGCUAAUACCGGAUAGGAGCUCCUGCUGCAUGGUGGGGGUUGGAAAGUUUCGGCGGUUGGGGAUGGACUCGCGGCUUAUCAGCUUGUUGGUGGGGUAGUGGCUUACCAAGGCUUUGACGGGUAGCCGGCCUGAGAGGGUGACCGGCCACAUUGGGACUGAGAGAGGGCCCAGACUCCUACGGGAGGCAGCAGUGGGGAAUAUUGCACAAUGGGCGGAAGCCUGAUGCAGCAACGCCGCGUGCGGGAUGAAGGCCUUCGGGUUGUAAACCGCUUUCGCCUGUGACGAAGCGUGAGUGACGGUAAUGGGUAAAGAAGCACCGGCUAACUACGUG
rnacentral:rRNA from 1 species